UACGUAGGGUGCAAGCGUUGUCCGGAAUUAUUGGGCGUAAAGAGCUCGUAGGCGGUCUGUCGCGUCGGCUGUGAAAACUUGGGGCUCAACCCCGGGCCUGCAUUCGAUACGGGCAGACUAGAGUUCGGUAGGGGAGUCUGGAAUUCCUGGUGUAGCGGUGAAAUGCGCAGAUAUCAGGAGGAACACCGGUGGCGAAGGCGGGACUCUGGGCCGAUACUGACGCUGAGGAGCGAAAGCAUGGGGAGCGAACAGG
rnacentral:rRNA from 1 species